GGAGACGUGUCAGAGUGGUCUAACGUGCCUCUUUGCUAAAGAGGUGUGCCCUUUAAACGGCACCGACGGUUCGAAUCCGUCCGUCUCCG
rnacentral:tRNA from 1 species